rnacentral:lncRNA from 1 species
CAACGGAGUGGAUCCCAUGUAGCGACCCCCCCCCCAAAAAAAGGGAAAAAGAGGGAAACGAGGUUGUCUUCUGGUCUUUGCUUCACGGAAACACGGCUCACUGGCGAGACGCUAUCCGAGGCGGUGCAGCCAACGGGUUUCUCCACGCAUCGCGCCGACAGAAACAAACAUCUUUCUGGUAAGAAGAGGGGCGGGGGCGUAUGCCUUAUGGCUAACGAGACAUGGUGUGAUGAAAGAAACAUACAGGAACUCAAAUCCUUCUGUUCACCUGAUUUAGAAUUCCUCACAAUCAAAUGUAGACCGCAUUAUCUACCAAGAGAAUUCUCUUCGAUUAUAAUCACAGCCGUAUAUAUCCCCCCCCCCCAAGCAGACACAUCGAUGGCUCUGAACGAACUUUAUUUAACUCUUUGCAAACUGGAAACCAUUUAUCCGGAGGCUGCAUUCAUUGUAGCUGGGGAUUUUAACAAGGCUAAUCUGAAAACAAGACUCCCUAAAUUUUAUCAGCAUAUCGAUUGCGCAACCAGGGGUGGAAAGACCUUGGAUCAUUGUUACUCUAACUUCCGCGACGCAUAUAAGGCCCUGCCCCGCCCCCCUUUCGGAAAAGCUGACCACGACUCCAUUUUGUUGAUCCCUGCCUACAGACAGAAACUAAAACAAGAGGCUCCCACGCUGAGGUCUGUCCAACGCUGGUCCGACCAAGCUGACUCCACACUCCAAGACUGCUUCCAUCACGUGGACUGGGAUAUGUUUCGUAUUGCGUCAGAUAACAAUAUUGACGAAUACGCUGAUUCGGUGUGCGAGUUCAUUAGAACGUGCGUUGAAGAUGUCGUUCCCAUAGCAACGAUUAAAACAUUCCCUAACCAGAAACCGUGGAUUGAUGGCAGCAUUCACGUGAAACUGAAAGCGCGAACCGCUGCUUUUAAUCAGGGCAAGGUGUCUGGUAACAUGACCGAAUACAAACAGUGCAGCUAUUCCCUCCGCAAGGCUAUCAAACAAGCUAAGCGUCAGUACAGAGACAAAGUAGAAUCUCAAUUCAACGGCUCAGACACAAGAGGCAUGUGGCAGGGUCUACAGUCAAUCACGGACUACAGGAAGAAAUCCAGCCCAGUCACGGACCAGGAUGUCUUG